rnacentral:lncRNA from 1 species
GUACCCAGUAUCCCAACCCUGCACCACUAUCCAAGCCGAAGACUUGCCAGAACCUAACGACCCACCCUCUGCUGCUUGUCCCCUCCAAAGGCAUACACUCUGUUCCUUCAGGGUUUGCUUCCUCACCCUAAACACAGUUUUAUUUUGAACAUAGGAUAAUGGCUGAGAGCAUGGGCUUAGGGUCUGAGCCCUGCUUCUUACUUGCUGUGGACUUAAACCCUCUAAGCCUAAGUUUCUUAUCUUCAUUAUGGGGGUGUUUCUGGCACCACCUAAUAGGAUUGCUAUAAAGACGAGAGCACAUGAGACAUAGGAAAAAGCAAGACCAGUGCACAGCACAGGGGAGAAGGAAACGCAGCAGCUGGCAUUAUUACCAAGCCCCCACACACCAAACCUGUGCAUUAACAGACUUCCCCUA